UACGUAGGGGGCAAGCGUUGUCCGGAAUCAUUGGGCGUAAAGAGCGUGUAGGUGGCUCGGUAAGUCCGCUGUGAAAGUCCAGGGCUCAACCCUGGAAAGCCGGUGGAAACUGUCGAGCUCGAGUCCGGAAGAGGCGAGUGGAAUUCCUGGUGUAGCGGUGAAAUGCGCAGAUAUCAGGAGGAACACCACUGGCGAAGGCAGCUCGCUGGGACGGUACUGACACUGAGACGCGAAAGCGUGGGGAGCAAACAGG
rnacentral:rRNA from 1 species